CCUACGGGAGGCAGCAGUGAGGAAUAUUGGUCAAUGGGCGGAAGCCUGAACCAGCCAAGUCGCGUGAGGGAAUAAGGCCCUACGGGUCGCAAACCUCUUUUGCCGGGGAGCAAGGCCGCCGACGUGUCCGCGCACGGAGAGUACCCGGAGAACAAGCAUCGGCUAACUCCGUGCCAGCAGCCGCGGUAAUACGGAGGAUGCGAGCGUUAUCCGGAUUUAUUGGGUUUAAAGGGUGCGCAGGCGG
rnacentral:rRNA from 1 species